rnacentral:rRNA from 1 species
AAACUUUCAACAAUGGAUCUCUUGGCUCUCGCAUCGAUGAARAACGCAGCGAAAUGCGAUAAGUAAUAUGAAUUGCARAAUUCCGUGAAUCAUCAAAUUUUUGAACGCAAAUUGCACUUCUUGGUAUUCCGAGGAGUACACAUGCUUGAGGGUCAGUU